rnacentral:rRNA from 1 species
UUAUCGUUUAUUUGAUAGUACCUUACUACUUGGAUAACCGUGGUAAUUCUAGAGCUAAUACAUGCUGAAAACCCCAACUUCGGGAGGGGUGUAUUUAUUAGAUAAAAAACCAACGCCCUUCGGGGCUUCUUGGUGAUUCAUGAUAACUUUACGGAUCGCAUGGCCUUGCGCCGGCGACGGUUCAUUCAAAUUUCUGCCCUAUCAACUUUCGAUGGUAAGGUAUUGGCUUACCAUGGUUUCAACGGGUAACGGGGAAUUAGGGUUCGAUUCCGGAGAGGGAGCCUGAGAAACGGCUACCACAUCCAAGGAAGGCAGCAGGCGCGCAAAUUACCCAAUCCCGACACGGGGAGGUAGUGACAAUAAAUACUGAUACAGGGCUCUUUUGGGUCUUGUAAUUGGAAUGAGUACAAUUUAAACCUCUUAACGAGGAACAAUUGGAGGGCAAGUCUGGUGCCAGCAGCCGCGGUAAUUCCAGCUCCAAUAGCGUAUAUUAAAGUUGUUGCAGUUAAAAAGCUCGUAGUUGAACCUUGGGUCUGGCUGGCAGGUCCGCCUCACCGCGUGUACUUGUCCGGCCGGGCCUUCCUUCUGGAGAACCUCAUGCCCUUCACUGGGCGUGUUGGGGACCAGGACUUUUACUUUGAAAAAAUUAGAGUGUUCAAAGCAGGCCUUUGCUCGAAUACGUUAGCAUGGAAUAAUAGAAUAGGACGUGCGGUCCUAUUUUGUUGGUUUCUAGGACCGCCGUAAUGAUUAAUAGGGACAGUCGGGGGCAUCAGUAUUCAAUUGUCAGAGGUGAAAUUCUUGGAUUUAUUGAAGACUAACUACUGCGAAAGCAUUUGCCAAGGAUGUUUUCAUUAAUCAGUGAACGAAAGUUAGGGGAUCGAAGACGAUCAGAUACCGUCGUAGUCUUAACCGUAAACUAUGCCG